rnacentral:rRNA from 1 species
UACGAAGGGGGGCUAGCGUUGCUCGGAAUGACUGGGCGUAAAGGGCGCGUAGGCGGCUCAUACAGUCAGGCGUGAAAUUCCUGGGCUCAACCUGGGGACUGCGCUUGAGACGUGUGGGCUUGAGUGGGGAAGAGGGUCGUGGAAUUCCCAGUGUAGAGGUGAAAUUCGUAGAUAUCAGGAGGAACACCAGUGGCGAAGGCGGCUUUCUGGACGGUAACUGACGCUGAGACGCGAAAAGCGUGGGGAGCAAACAGG